AUUAGAUUAAAAACCAAUGCCCUUCGGGGCUCUCUGGUGAUUCAUGAUAACUUCUCGAAUCGCAUGGCCUUGCGCCGGCGAUGGUUCAUUCAAAUUUCUUCCCUAUCAACUUUCGAUGUUUGGGUAUUGGCCAAACAUGGUUGCAACGGGUAACGGAGGGUUAGGGCUCGACCCCGGAGAAGGAGCCUGAGAAACGGCUACUACAUCCAAGGAAGGCAGCAGGCGCGCAAAUUACCCAAUCCCGACUCGGGGAGGUAGUGACAAUAAAUACUGAUACAGGGUUCUUUCGGAUCUUGUAAUUGGAAUGAGUACAAUUUAAAUCCCUUAACGAGGAACAAUUGGAGGGCAAGUCUGGUGCCAGCAGCCGCGGUAAUUCCAGCUCCAAUAGCGUAUAUUAAAGUCGUUGUGGUUAAAAAGCUCGUAGUUGAACCUUGGGCCUGGCUGGCCGGUCCGCCUCACCGCGUGUACUGGUCCGGCCGGGCCUUUCCCUCUGUGGAACCCUAUGCCCUUCACUGGG
rnacentral:rRNA from 1 species